GUCAGGGCCUCCGCAUGGUAGGGGGCGGGGAAGGGAGGAAAGAGGGGAGGCCUGGAAAUAGGGAUCCCGUCUGGAAGCCCUGAGAUCGCCUUCUCCUGCAGGUCCGACCCAGGGUGAAGCAACUUAGCAAGUACCAAGACGAAGUUUGGGGUGGUUUCCUCAGAGACACCAAAGCUUACUCGUCCCAGAGGGGCAAAGCUUCUCUAGUCCGCCAGCAGUGUGCCACCCAGCGCCCACUCCUGGGCAAGAAUUAUUUUCCUGGUCUCCCUUGCAUCUUAAGACCUAGAACUGUCAGUGCAGUGCCCGAGAAAGGACUGUGACUUUGGGACUCACCCUGGGCAGCCGAGCUCUCUCCGCCCUACCUGCCAACAGCCCCAUGCAACUGUGCUUCUCUGGGACAAAAGAAAAGAAGAGGGGAAAGAAAAUAAAUAAAUAAAUAAGCAACCACCCUUCCUGGGAAUGCUGGGCUGCAGCUCCCCGCUCCAGUCUCCCAUCCGGACCCUUCUUUCCCUGCACAGCUGGCUGGCUUGCCAACCACCAAAUCCCAGGUCUGCCCAGCUGGCCAUGUCCUUUUGGGACUCUGGGCUCCGUGGGACCCACACUGCUCACUCUUAGGAAGAGCCAGGUGCAGCCGCCCCACCUGAGCCUCCGUCAGGCCAGCUUCAGGGCCUCCACUGCAGCCGAACAGCAGGACCCUGCGGCUUCCCACCAACCAGAGCGGCCGCUCUACCUUCUAGUUCAUUUGGGGGCCGGCGAUAAGGGGAAAAGACAGUGGCAAGUUGCCUCCCUUUACCCGGAUCGUGCUUUCCCAGGCAACGGAAGAAGCUGGGACCCCCAGAGCCAACUACGCCCCUCUGAGCAAACUCUCUAGGGUCUCUCUAGACAAUAAAAAUGCGAUUUAAUCAGCACCUGGAGCCACGCGCCCACUUCCCACCCGCACCCUCGGCGUGUAGCUCCAGGCUAGGAAAUCAAGCCUUGGCAGGGGCACUUCCGAGGGCCUGGCUGUCCCAGUUGGGGACACGCACUGGCCCUGGCGGCUGUGGGCCCGGAUGUCUCCGCUUGCGCACUUCCCGGAGAGGGCGGUGGGGGCCAGGCCAGGGCACACAGCCUUGGAGCUGCCUCUCCAGACCGCGCUGGCCGGGCAGCGAUGCCCCGGGUUCUCUGCGCUGAGACGCCGCCGCCAGAUACAUCCCUUCUCACCCUCUCCAGCCUCUGCGUCCUUGCUCCUGAGCGGCCAUAUACCUUGUGAGGGUCACUCCCUGCCUGCCUCCUUCAAGCUGCCUCUGGAGCCCAGAGGUUGAACAUUAACUGGCCAGAGCUAUAGAGUGAGGUAAAACGUUACAUAUAAAAAUGAAUCAUCUAUCUGAUUCAGGGAAAGGCGACCUAUAGCCAGCUCUGCGUCUAGAGCAGCUCUGACAUGUCCCUGGACCAAUGCACCCAUUCUUUCUACUGCCACUGUUCCGGGACUAUCCUGCCUCAGGCGGCUAAGGACUUUCGCCAGGAGGAGGGGGUAGUGGUGGAGGGCUGCAGAUAAUUGAGCCAACCUUUCUUCUUUAGGAGAUUGAACACAAGCAUAGGUCUUUUCUCUGGCUUGAGCAAGGUCCGGGACAAUUUAUCCUGUCUUAUAAAGACUCAGGAGGAAGUUGUGCUAGAGGGAACUGCUGUCAUCGCGCUGCCCCAAGGUCCACUUGGCGUUCUGGGAGACAGGGCUAGGUGGAUAGGGUCCGGCAGCAAGAGCUCAAGGCCUAGGCCUGGAGAGAGAGAGAGAGAGAGAGAGAGAGAGACGGGGAGGGAGGGAGGCAAGCGGUGGGUGGCGCAAGGCCUGUGCGGCUGGCUUGGGGGCUAGGACCUCGCAAGCCUGCCUUGGACAGGAAAUCCCUCCCACCCUUCAUUGCCCAGGCCUGGGCUCUGCUCUUUCUGACUCUGAUCUGCUUCUUUUGACAAAAAAAGUAAAAAAUGUUCUGCACUGACUUAUGCACCAGGUCUAAGUGUUCAAUCAGAUUCCCAGAAUUUAUGAAGAGACAAUAGCUGAAGAGUGCACCUCCUCAAUUCUUAUGCCCUUACCUGGAAACACUAGUAAUUCGGGUUCUCAACAAACUCCUGAGAAGGUGGUGACUCCUUUUCUUUCUCUAUUGCUCUCCCUCUCCCCCUCGCCCUCUCAGAAAGAGCUAAUGUGGGCAACAGAAAGAUGUAGGGCUUCAUAGUGCUCCGGGCAUUACCAACAAGCUGCAGACAAUUCCAGUGGAUUCUGAGAAAAUUGGUUCACGUCUCCUGUAAAAUAGUUUAACCUAAAUUCAGUGCCUGAUGUAUAAUAUUCUUUCAGUACAGACGCUCCCGCCCUGCAUAACCCAUCCCCCAACCUGGCCAACCUGGAUUCUAUCUCUAUUAGUUUCUUACUGAGAUCAUUUACCUAAAUCACUGUACAUAGAUAGGGGUGUGAGAGAGUGGCUGUGGUGGUGUGCUGGUCUGGCUUGAACUCCGCUUCACAAUCCCCUCUUGGCUUCUUCAAAGGCAACUACUUCGUCAUUGAGUUCACAACUUGUAAAGUAAGCCUAAGAAGUUCCCAGAAGGUGGAGGCUGGCAGCAAAGACAUCCAGAGAAGGACAGUUUUCAGAGACUCAGCAGGUUAUCAAGCCCAUGUUGAGUACUAUGUACACCUAUUAAUUGGAUGUCACUAUUCAGUGAGUUCUUAGAGAAUAUGCCUUGAGUUUAAGAUGUGGUUACACACUUAAUCUCGUCACUUCAUGUCCUGUCACUGUUCUAUCCUCACUGCACACAAUGUUCUAUGUCAUUCCAGUAGAGCAAUUAUGCCCCAACUUUGUCAUCACCUAAGUUUGUGUUACCCCACUCCCCCAAGAAAAAUAGAAUUGACUCAAAUGUUCCACCAGUUUGCUCCAGAAGAGACAAUGAACACGUCAAAGCAAAUAAAUAAAAAGAGGUAUGAAUCACA